GGAUCGCAGGCUGCAACCCGCCUGCGUGAAGUCGGAAUCGCUAGUAAUCGCGGAUCAGCAUGCCGCGGUGAAUACGUUCCCGGGCCUUGUACACACCGCCCGUCACACCAUGAGAGUCGGGAACACCCGAAGUCCGUAGCCUAACCGCAAGGAGGGCGCGGCCGAAGGUGGGUUCGAUAAUUGGGGUGAAGUCGUAACAAGGUACC
rnacentral:rRNA from 1 species